UUGGAGGGCAAGUCUGGUGCCAGCAGCCGCGGUAAUUCCAGCUCCAAUAGCGUAUAUUAAAGUUGUUGCAGUUAAAAAGCUCGUAGUUGAAUUUCGGGGUCAGUAGGUUGGUCAUGCCACUGGUAUGUACUGGUCUCACUGAUUCCUCCUUCCUGAUGAACUGUAAUGCCAUUAAUUUGGUGUUGCAGGGAAUCUGGACUGUUACUUUGAAAAAAUUAGAGUGUUUAAAGCAGGCUAACGCCUGAAUACAUUAGCAUGGAAUAAUGAAAUAGGACGUUCGAUCCUAUUUUGUUGGUUUCUGGGAUUGACGUAAUGAUUAAUAGGGAUAGUUGGGGGCAUUAGUAUUCAAUUGUCAGAGGUGAAAUUCUUGGAUUUAUUGAAGACUAACUACUGCGAAAGCAUUUGCCAAGGAUGUUUUCAUUAAUCAAGAACGAAAGUUGGGGGAUCGAAGACGAUCAGAUACCGUCGUAGUCUUAACCAUAAACUAUGCCGACUAGGGAUCGGAUGAUGUUAAUUUUUUAAUGACUCAUUCGGCGCCUUACGGGAAUU
rnacentral:rRNA from 1 species